GGGGGGAGUUUCAGUGUUUUCCAUUGAUGUGCACGAAAAUUAAAACAAGAAGAAUGCCGGCUCAUUGUGCGGCAUACAGUUGCACACUACAUCGGACGAUCAAGACAAGGAAACUUGGAAUAACUUUCCACAGGGUGGGGAAAAUGUUGCUGUGGCCCAUUACAUGGUGAGCCAGAGAGGAACAGGCCGACAUUCCCACAUCACUGGACGCAGUGUACAUAAUCAAAGAAUUGAAAGAUUAUGGCGAGAUGUGUAUGGAAAUGUCCUUGACUUGUUCCACACACUGUUUCUCAAUUUGGAAGUGGAAGGGUUUCUAAACCCUGAAAAUGAACUGGAGUUAUUCACUCUCCACUGGACCUACGUCCCACAGCUGCAGCAGCAUCUUCAGGCAUUCAAGGAAGCCUGGACUCACCACAGUUUGAGGACAAAGAGAGGGCAAUCCCCCAUGCAACGGUGGCUUAGUCAGCCACGUGAGGGAAAUGCUGCUGAUCCAGUUGAGGUUGCUGCUGAUUAUGGGAUAGACUGGACAGGACCUCACACCCCAUACCCAGAAGGCGUCACUGUACCUGAUGCACAACUACCCCGGCAGCUUACACAGGCUGAAGUUACAUCAUUGCCUGAUCCGGCCGUCCCUUUUUCUGCUGCACUACGGGCAUACAUGGAUACAGUGUAUAUUCUUAAGGACAUUUUUCAACAAACCUAGACAUAUCACAACUCACCUUAACAGAAUCAGAAUGAAACGAACAAGACUCAAAAGAAUGCUGCAAAUUUUUGUUGCAUAAGUUGUGAAUUUCAAAUAAAUGCCUUUGAAAACAACAAUGUACAAAGACACAGCAAAGGGAUAUAAAACUGCUUUUAUUGCAUGCUGAAUAGUUUGACAGCUUUUAAAAGCAUUAGAACAAUGUGCCAAUAAAAAGGUUUUUUAAUAGAACUGACAA